AAGUCGUACGCUUCUUUUUCCCCGGAGCUUGCUCCACCGGAAAAAGAAGAGUGGCGAACGGGUGAGUAACACGUGGGUAACCUGCCCAUCAGAAGGGGAUAACACUUGGAAACAGGUGCUAAUACCGUAUAACAAUCGAAACCGCAUGGUUUUGAUUUGAAAGGCGCUUUCGGGUGUCGCUGAUGGAUGGACCCGCGGUGCAUUAGCUAGUUGGUGAGGUAACGGCUCACCAAGGCCACGAUGCAUAGCCGACCUGAGAGGGUGAUCGGCCACAUUGGGACUGAGACACGGCCCAAACUCCUACGGGAGGCAGCAGUAGGGAAUCUUCGGCAAUGGACGAAAGUCUGACCGAGCAACGCCGCGUGAGUGAAGAAGGUUUUCGGAUCGUAAAACUCUGUUGUUAGAGAAGAACAAGGAUGAGAGUAACUGUUCAUCCCUUGACGGUAUCUAACCAGAAAGCCACGGCUAACUACGUGCCAGCAGCCGCGGUAAUACGUAGGUGGCAAGCGUUGUCCGGAUUUAUUGGGCGUAAAGCGAGCGCAGGCGGUUUCUUAAGUCUGAUGUGAAAGCCCCCGGCUCAACCGGGGAGGGUCAUUGGAAACUGGGAGACUUGAGUGCAGAAGAGGAGAGUGGAAUUCCAUGUGUAGCGGUGAAAUGCGUAGAUAUAUGGAGGAACACCAGUGGCGAAGGCGGCUCUCUGGUCUGUAACUGACGCUGAGGCUCGAAAGCGUGGGGAGCAAACAGGAUUAGAUACCCUGGUAGUCCACGCCGUAAACGAUGAGUGCUAAGUGUUGGAGGGUUUCCGCCCUUCAGUGCUGCAGCUAACGCAUUAAGCACUCCGCCUGGGGAGUACGACCGCAAGGUUGAAACUCAAAGGAAUUGACGGGGGCCCGCACAAGCGGUGGAGCAUGUGGUUUAAUUCGAAGCAACGCGAAGAACCUUACCAGGUCUUGACAUCCUUUGACCACUCUAGAGAUAGAGCUUCCCCUUCGGGGGCAAAGUGACAGGUGGUGCAUGGUUGUCGUCAGCUCGUGUCGUGAGAUGUUGGGUUAAGUCCCGCAACGAGCGCAACCCUUAUUGUUAGUUGCCAUCAUUUAGUUGGGCACUCUAGCAAGACUGCCGGUGACAAACCGGAGGAAGGUGGGGAUGACGUCAAAUCAUCAUGCCCCUUAUGACCUGGGCUACACACGUGCUACAAUGGGAAGUACAACGAGUCGCGAAGUCGCGAGGCUAAGCUAAUCUCUUAAAGCUUCUCUCAGUUCGGAUUGUAGGCUGCAACUCGCCUACAUGAAGCCGGAAUCGCUAGUAAUCGCGGAUCAGCACGCCGCGGUGAAUACGUUCCCGGGCCUUGUACACACCGCCCGUCACACCACGAGAGUUUGUAACACCCGAAGUCGGUGAGGUAACCUUUGAGCCAGCGCUA
rnacentral:rRNA from 1 species